UCCGUAGGGUGAACCUGCGGAAGGAUCAUUACCUAGAGUUGUAGGCUUUGCCUGCUAUCUCUUACCCAUGUCUUUUAAGUACCUUACGUUUCCUCGGCGGGUCCGCCCGCCGAUUGGACAAUUUAAACCAUUUGCAGUUGCAAUCAGCGUCUGAAAAAACUUAAUAGUUACAACUUUCAACAACGGAUCUCUUGGUUCUGGCAUCGAUGAAGAACGCAGCGAAAUGCGAUAAGUAGUGUGAAUUGCAGAAUUCAGUGAAUCAUCGAAUCUUUGAACGCACAUUGCGCCCCUUGGUAUUCCAUGGGGCAUGCCUGUUCGAGCGUCAUUUGUACCUUCAAGCUCUGCUUGGUGUUGGGUGUUUGUCUCGCCUCUGCGUGUAGACUCGCCUCAAAACAAUUGGCAGCCGGCGUAUUGAUUUCGGAGCGCAGUACAUCUCGCGCUUUGCACUCAUAACGACGACGUCCAAAAGUACAUUUUUACACUCUUGACCUCGGAUCAGGUAGGGAUACCCGCUGAACUUAAGCAUAUCAAUAAGCGGAGGA
rnacentral:rRNA from 1 species